GUGGGGAAUAUUAGGCAAUGGGCGAAAGCCUGACCUAGCAACGCCGCGUGAAGGAAGAAGGCCUUCGGGUUGUAAACUUCUUUUAUGAGGGACGAAGGACGUGACGGUACCUCAUGAAUAAGCCACGGCUAACUACGUGCCAGCAGCCGCGGUAAUACGUAGGUGGCGAGCGUUGUCCGGAUUUACUGGGGGUAAAGGGCGCGUAGGCGGACUGGCAAGUCAGAUGUGAAAUACAGUGGCUCAACCCCUGAACUGCAUUUGAAACUGUUGGUCUUGAGUAACGGAGAGGCAAGCGGAAUUCCUAGGGUAGCGGUGAAAUGCGUAGAUAUUAGGAGGAACACCAGGGGCGAAGGCGGCUUGCUGGACGACAACUGACGCUGAGGCGCGAAAGCGUGGGAAGCAAACAGGAUUAGAAACCCUGGUAGUCC
rnacentral:rRNA from 1 species